rnacentral:rRNA from 1 species
CAGCAGCCGCCGCGGUAAUACGGAGGGGGCUAGCGUUGUUCGGAAUUACUGGGCGUAAAGCGCACGUAGGCGGCUUGGUAAGUUAGAGGUGAAAGCCCGGAGCUCAACUCCAGAAUUGCCUUUAAGACUGCCGAGCUAGCAGGUGAGAGAGGUAAGUGGAAUUCCGAGUGUAGAGGUGAAAUUCGUAGAUAUUCGGAAGAACACCAGUGGCGAAGGCGGCUCACUGGACGACUGUUGACGCUGAGGUACGAAAGCGUGGGGAGCAAACAGGAUUAGAUACCCCGGUAGUCCCUGUCUCUUAUAC